UGCGGGAUGAACCGGAAGCCGGGUUACGGU
rnacentral:snRNA from 1 species